GACCUCAAAUCAGGUAGGACUACCCGCUGAACUUAAGCAUAUCAAUAAGCGGAGGAAAAGAAACUAACAAGGAUUCCCCUAGUAACUGCGAGUGAAGAGGGAAAAGCUCAAAUUUAAAAUCUGUCAGUCUUUGGCUGACCGAGUUGUAAAUUAGAGAAGUGCUAUCUGCGCUGGCCUGUGCAAAAGUCUCUUGGAAAAGAGCAUCAUAGAGGGUGACAAUCCCGUCUUUGGUACAGAGCUCCAGGGCUUCAUGAUGUGCUCUCAAUGAGUCGAGUUGUUUGGGAAUGCAGCUCUAAAUGGGUGGUAAAUUCCAUCUAAAGCUAAAUAUUGGCGAGAAACCGAUAGCGCACAAGUACCGUGAGGGAAAGAUGAAAAGAACUUUGAAAAGAGAGUUAAACAGUACGUGAAAUUGUUGAAAGGGAAACGCUUGAAGUCAG
rnacentral:rRNA from 1 species